rnacentral:lncRNA from 1 species
GCUGAGAUGUUUAGCCAUCUCAUUCAAAUGCAGACACAUUAUCCUUACGACCAGGGUUGCACAUAUACCCUGUGGUAACGGGUGAGUUAUUCCCUCAUAUAAGGACCAGUUACAUAUAUAUUAAAAGCAGCUCAGUCUUUCUGUUUCUUAGGAAGUAAAGGAGUAUAAGAAGGGUUACUCUACUCUUUUACUUAUGGAGAGGACACAGAGUUACCAGUGAAAAUGGGGGAAAUACUGUAAAUAGUGAACUCUUAAAAAAAGAAACUGUGAACAACUAGAGAUGAUUCCUACAGAGGAGGAGACAGAUUCAGGGGAGAUAGCUCAAAAUAAGUAAUGUGUCCUUGUCAGGAAAAAAAAAAUGCUGGCAUUUGGUAAACUGUAGGUGUUAUUAUUUUCAGGGAACCUAGGAAUAACUGAAUUGUGUAUCACACCAAAGCUGUACAUCCCCAUUAAGUUCCGAAGAGAAAUCUUCCUACAAGGAGUAAUGGAAAAUGGGAAGCCAAAUAGACUGGGCCCUUAGCUUUAAGGCUGAGAAUGCAUCUAAGUUGUACUGGAGGACACAGUUAAGGGGCUUCUAUUUCAUGUUCCUUCUUAGAAGCCCCAAGGCACAAUCUCAGAAUUGUGCAUCUACUGGGAGUGGCCCAAAGGCAAUUUGCCAUUUUGUGAAAAAGUGGAAAAGAAAGGAGAGAGAACCAACAUACGGGCAAUUUUUAAAUCUACAAUCACCUUUUUCAUUAUUAAAUGUGGCCCAAUUAGUGAUCUGGAUCCAACUAAUCAAAAUGAUGUUCCUUUUUGGUAGGAAGAAUUCAGAAAAGGCAGGC